GGCCCCUGGGGGCGGGCUCGUGUCCCUCAGGGCGUCCUGCGGGGUCCGCCUCCGUGUGCGGGGAGCGCGUCGUUCGUCCGAAGCCUGCCCGUGGCUAUUACAGCAUUGCUGUCACGUGGCUGAACUCUGCACUGUCCGUCUCUGCAGUCUCAGUCCCACCUUUUCUACACACCAGAAGCACACCUGAGGUAUUACUGAAUGGAUGGGUUGCUUCUGGAGAGAGAGGAGCUGCCAGAACAGAAACAUGGAGGUACUGAGCUCCAGUCAGCUGCUGUCACCGUUCCCAGCUUAAUUCACCACCAGUGAUCCCAUGGUUAACACAGUCCUUGGGGGUCUUUGUGCCCACAGCUCAGCCUUCCCUAGCGUUACAGAAGUAAGAACUUUCUGGACAUUAUGUAUUUGGAUUUUUCUUUAAAUACCUUGAGCUUAUCAAUCUGUGUGCAUGUGAAGUAGUCCAUAUCAGAUACACUUUGCUAGUAGCUAAAACAUUGCUAAGCUCAGAGGAAGCUACUUUUCUGAAUGCGUGUGUGCUCGUGCACUCCUGUCUUUAUUCCUCUCUUUUCUUUCCACAAGUAAUCCUAGUUGGAGUAGAUUUUAGUUAUUCCAUUAGCACAAGAAUAUCUAUCUGAACAAGGCCUCUUGGACACGGGAGCUUUGACUCCCCUCUUCUGUGUACGUAAAGAGAGAUUGUUUUGACUUUCAAAGCAGUGUGAAACAGAAACAGAAAGCACUUUGUCCCAGCCAGCAAUAGUCAUUCCUUAUACACAGCUUUUUCAACAACACAUUUCAAAAUGUCUCCUCUUGUCUCAGGGCAAGCAGGAACUGACGCUGGGAACCAGUUAUCACAGCCCUUGGAACAAGCAUCCUGUUGAAGUACUGAUAUAGAGAAGUGAAGUUAGCAAGUUAAAGACUUGAGAGUAUUUUUGUUGGAGAAAGGAGUUGAUGAGCGAGUUCUAAUUGGGGAGUUUAUAAUAGAAUACAAUUAUAGAGUUGUGUUUUUUGUGAGUUCUGAGAAAACAAAGAUAUUUGAGAAGAGGACGCCCAACAACUGUAAAAUAAACAUGCUGAGAAGCAGAGAUUUGUAGGGACAGGCAGUUCAGCUACCCAAGGAAGGCUGCAACGACCACAACAGCUUCACGUUCACUGAAAACUUGAUUCUAAUUUGCAGCAUGUGAUUUACUGUUACAGAUAGGCAAAGUUUCAAUGAUAAUAACUUAAAAUAAUCCUUUGAAAAGCAGCAGUGUAUUAAAAAGAUGACAAUAAAGAUGAGCCACGAGGCCAAAAA